UUACCGGUGGUCGAAAGAGUUCUGAAAAUAUAGGAUGGAAAAAUUCCAGAUUGUAUACCGGGCAGGCUCUUUUAUAUCAGAGGGCCAUUAUACUGACUGGCUCGUUAUUUUAUGACAGCUUUGGCUAAACUCGUCACGUCUAACAAACAAAUUAUGCUUUCUCAUAGCUAAGUGUAUUUGAUCAGAGGUGUCUGGGAUCCCCUGUGGGCCUCGGAAAGUGUCCCCUCACACCUAGGGCAUGAUAUGGAUUACUGUGGACCAGCAUGGAAUUUCUCCUCACCCUGCCUUCAUCACCUUAUGUGCCCUGAGACCUUCUCAGGACCUUAAGAGUCCCCCCUGCGGUGGGACCCUGCACCCAUCCCCGCCUGUGCCCUGGGAUACCACAAGCCGGGUGGCCUCUGAGCAUUCUCAGUGUUUCACACACGUCCUUGUCACAACACGGGAGCUUCAUUGCACUGGCACCCACGAGGAAAAGAAGCCACAAAGCUUUGAUGUCGAGAUGUCUCGAAUAUCAUUAUGCGUGGGGCUGAGGACCUGCCGGGCGGGCUUCCCGGGGAUUCUCGAACAGUUUAUGAAUUUCUCCAAGGAUCCUGGCUGCUUCUGCUUUCAGGAUGGGCUGCCCCAGAAGGGCGUCUGUGUUCUGGUCGUAAUUUUCUAACAUUGAUCCCAGGGAAUGGGUGGGGCUGGGAGUCCAGAAUCAACCAGGGACCUGCUUAAGUUUCUCUUCAUUAAUAAAGAAGUGAAAAGCAAUUAUUUUUUUCACAACAGAAUUUAAAAUUGUAUUGCCUUAGUUCCAAGGACACUUGGUUGCUGUGAAA